UGUUUGCUGCAACACGCAUAGCUAAAAUCAGAACAGUACAGAGAUAAUUAGCAUAGCCCCUGCACAGGAGGACACAUAUCUGUGAAGCAUUCUACAUCCUU
rnacentral:snRNA from 1 species